rnacentral:tRNA from 1 species
GCUUUCGUGGUGUAAUUGAAAGCACUUCCAUCUAGGAAUUGGGAGGUCCAAAGUUCGAAUCCUAGCGAGGUCA